GCCUACUAUUUAAUCAGAGAUAAGCAGAUUGAUUAGGUUAAUAUAGAGAUCAGCUCCAUGUGUGGAAAGAGCAGGAGUAGCACCACUAGCUUCUUUUCCACAUUUCAAUUUGUUGCUGUUGUUCGUCCAAGACACUUCAAUGAUAACCCCGACCAUUUUGCAGCAGACUGGCUCUGAACCCAGAGGAGAGCCCACUCCAUAAUCAGCAUCUCCCCUUUUACAAGGUUACAAGAAAAUGGAGUGUUGUUGAUGAAUUAUGGGGUCUCAGUCUGAGGAAUGAAGCUGAUCUGUAGUAUUGCAGUGGAUACUUCUGGCAGCAGGGUGAACAUACUGUGGCUGGGAUGGGUGCCAUCUUUUAU